GGCUUUAUAGUCAAAAAAUGAUUUUAAAUUGCAAGUUUAAAGUUGGGUUAACCCUAAGGCUU
rnacentral:tRNA from 2 species